UACGAAGGGUGCAAGCGUUACUCGGAAUUGACUGGGCGUAAAGCGUGCGUAGGUGGUUUGUUAAGUCUGUUGUGAAAGCCCCGGGCUCAACCUGGGAAUGGCAAUGGAUACUGGCAAGCUAGAGUGCGGUAGAGGGUAGUGGAAUUCCCGGGUGUCAGCGGUGAAAUGCGUAGAGAUCGGGAGGAACACCAGUGGUCGAAGGCG
rnacentral:rRNA from 1 species